UUCUGCCCAUACCAACUUGAACUUGCCAGAUCUAAUCUGAUCUGGGAAGUUAAGCAGGGCUGGAUCUGGCUAGUACUUGGAUAUAAGAAAUAAUUUCUCAGGCCAGUGAGAUGGCUCAGCAGGUAAAGGAA
rnacentral:rRNA from 1 species